rnacentral:rRNA from 1 species
UACAGGGGGUGCAAACGUUGCUCGGAAUCAUUGGGCGUAAAGAGCUCGUAGGCGGUUUGUCGCGUCGGAUGUGAAAACCCGGGGCUCAACCCCGGGCCUGCAUUCGAUACGGGCAGACUAGAGUUCGGUAGGGGAGUCUGGAAUUCCUGGUGUAGCGGUGAAAUGCGCAGAUAUCAGGAGGAACACCGGUGGCGAAGGCGGGUCUCUGGGCCGAUACUGACGCUGAGGAGCGAAAGCGUGGGGAGCGAACAGG